rnacentral:lncRNA from 1 species
GGCGGGCGGGCGCGCGGCGCAGGUGGGAGGGCAGGGGCAAUGCGGGGAACCGGGCGCCGGGCGUUGUGCGCUGCAACCAGGCCGCCGCCAGGUAGUGCGAGACCGGGCGGGGCAGCGGCUCGGCGGGAGCUCGCCCACCCUUGAGCAAGCAGUAAUCCGAGCGUGAGUCCCUGGUUCUGGAAGGGGACGCAAGCCGGAGGACUCACGUGUUUGAACUGUUUGAAGAUGAGGGUGGGCAUCAAAUGAAGCACAAAUUGACUAACUGCAGUUCUCUGGCCUCCAUAGGCCACAUCAGUCUAUGAAGACUAUGAAGACUAAGUGCUAUCUCUCCCCAGUAGUUUCUCCUG